rnacentral:lncRNA from 1 species
UCUAUAUAAAAUAUAUAUGUAUGUAUUUACAUAUAUAUAUCAACUAGACCUACUCUAAAUUCUAAUUCUUAUCCUUCAUCGUGUUUCCGUUACUCAUGCACCAUCGCUUGCCAUAUAGGGUGACCUCGGUGUUCCAUCUCCCAUAUCCCUUUUACUCGUCAACAAUCGGAUAAUCGGAAGACUUAGCAAUUAUACACAUGCCAUAUUUAAUGUUGAUAGACAAGACGAUGAAGAAAUCAAGUUAGGAUGGACUUAGAUACU